GAAAGAUUCAUCGGAAGAGGAUGGGCAUGCGGCGCAUUAGCUAGACGGCGGGGUAACGGCCCACCGUGGCGACGAUGCGUAGGGGUUCUGAGAGGAAGGUCCCCCACACUGGUACUGAGACACGGACCAGACUCCUACGGGAGGCAGCAGUGAGGAAUAUUGGUCAAUGGGAGAGAUCCUGAACCAGCCAAGCCGCGUGAGGGAAGACGGCCCUAUGGGUUGUAAACCUCUUUUGUCGGAGAACAAAACCCGGGACGUGUCCCGGACUGCGUGUAUCCGAAGAAAAAGCAUCGGCUAACUCCGUGCCAGCAGCCGCGGUAAUACGGAGGAUGCGAGCGUUAUCCGGAUUUAUUGGGUUUAAAGGGUGCGUAGGCGGUCCGUUAAGUCAGCGGUAAAAUUGCGGGGCUCAACCCCGUCGAGCCGUUGAAACUGGCAGACUUGAGUUGGCGAGAAGUACGCGGAAUGCGCGGUGUAGCGGUGAAAUGCAUAGAUAUCGCGCAGAACUCCGAUUGCGAAGGCAGCGUACCGGCGCCAGACUGACGCUGAGGCACGAAAGCGUGGGGAUCGAACAGGAUUAGAUACCCCGGUAGUCCACGCAGUAAACGAUGAAUGCUGGUUGUCCGGGUCGAAUGAGACCUGG
rnacentral:rRNA from 1 species